AACGAACGCUGGCGGCAGGCCUAACACAUGCAAGUCGAGCGAGGACUUCGGUCCUAGCGUCGGACGGGUGUGUAACGCGUGGGAACGUGCCCUUUGCUUCGGAAUAGCUCUGGGAAACUGGGAGUAAUACCGGAUGAGCCCUAAGGGGGAAAGAUUUAUCGGCGAAGGAUCGGCCCGCGUUGGAUUAGGUAGUUAGUGGGGUAAUGGCUUACCAAGCCGACGAUCCAUAGCUGGUUUGAGAGGAUGGUCAGCCACACUUGGACUGAGACACGGCCCAGACUCCUACGGGAGGCAGCAGUGGGGAAUCUUAGACAAUGGGGGAAACCCUGAUCGAGCCAUGCCGCGUGAACUAUGAAGGCCUGAGGGUUGUAAAGCGCUAGCAGCUGGGAAGAUAAUGACGGUACCAGCAGAAGAAGCCCCGGCUAACUCCGUG
rnacentral:rRNA from 1 species